AUACCACCAGGGGGCAUACAUAACAUUAUAAAUCUUAAAUAGGAAACUAGCAGUUUCUGCAUCUAAGUACUGAAUUUAAUUAUAGUUUAAUAGCUAAAAGACAAAUGAAACACAAUGCAAAAUAUUAAUAAAAUAUUUCUCACGGAUGACUUUUCUUACAAUAGCACUUUCUUUCUCUGGAGCAUCAUAUCACAAGUAUCCAAACAUCUUCUCAAAUGUGCAAUUCAUCCUGAAAGCCUUGGAAAUUAUAGGUAAAAGAGAACUCCGUUCUGAAUCCAUUUUUAGCCCUGUGGAAAAUAAGAAAAGAUAUGAGAAAACAGAUUCUGAUAUGGGAGGAUAUGAAAUUAACCACCUGCUCUGGCACUGUGUUGCUGCUUGGUCUUGUGUUCAGAAUAACAGUCCUCAGUUGAAUAACGUGCUUGAACAUCUCGUCUUCCAUAAGACACAGCUUCAAAAGAAAUGCUGGUUGGAUUCAGUACUGGCUUUACUGGUCCUUGGGGAGGCUGCCAAAUUAAACAUGGCCUGCUUGAAAGCUUUAAUGGACAUAGUGAGAGAUUUUGUUUCAAGCAUUAUGUCUGUUCAAAAUCAGGAAGAAAGUUGCAAGGUAGAUGAUUUUUCCUGGGCCUGGAAUGUAGUCUACAUAUAUACAGUAAUUCUUGCAGAAAUCUGCUUGUAUGCAGCCACUUCUGAUUUGCGAAAAACUGCUUUAAUUGGUUUCUGUCACUGUAAAAGUUCACAAAAAAAUAUUUUAUGCUUGGACAAAUCAGUACCUCCAGAAUUAAAGGAAACAAGUAUUUUAAGUCUUUUGGAAUAUUUCUCUUCAAAAAUGUCAGAGAAUUGUGAUCAAGUAGUCUGGACUGGUUACUAUGGCUUAGUGUAUAACCUGGUGAAAAUUUCAUGGGAACUUCAAGGAGAUGAAGAACAGGAUGGACUUAGAAACAUGAUAUGGCAAACAUUGCAGAAAACAAAGGAUUACGAGGAAGAUGUACGAAUCCAAAAUGCAAUCAAUAUAGCUCAGGAAGGAAAACCAACCAGAACCCUGGACAAGCUUUUUCUCUAAUGGGAGAGAAGUUUUAUAUGAAGCAAUGGAUCUUAGGAGCAUAAUAAAUGGACUUUACAGACUGCUGUCGGGUGCCACCAAGAUCCCUUGAGAUGCUCCUUCCCCUGCUGCCAGGGGUAUUGCCAGCCAAGGGCUCAGAGGUUAAAAAUUGACGUCAGCAAAAGCUGUCAACAUCAUGCAAGUUUAUAUCUCCCCUCUGGGCGCAGUUUCAUCAAUGAUUUAUUAGUUGAUGUGAGAUAUAAAUGUCCAAUCCCCAUGCUUCAAUUUGGGACAAUCUUAAAGGCCAUCAGAGCUGCAGAGCUCCCUGUAUAACAGGUUGAGGCUCUGUUGUGCCUGCAUUACACUUCAACGCCUCCUUGGCCUCACUCUGCUUUCCUCAGGACCUCACUGAUGUUCUCCCUGGGAGUACUCCCCACUGAAUUAUUUGCAAGUGAAACUAUGUGUUGAGGUCUGUUUUCCAGGGCAGCUACCCCAAGACAAAUACUGACAAUCAUUAGUUGCUACACACUCAGAAAAGAGAGGUGAUGAAAGCACAGGGUCUGUACUUGUAAGAUCAUACCUUGAGCAGUGCUGUAGGUCCAUGUUUUAAGAGUGUCUGACAAAUUCAAAUGCACAAGCUGGUGAAAUAGCUAUAAAAAGCAUCAAAUGAGGAAGCAUCAGUCAGGAGCUUGGAUUUUUAAACGAAGUACAUUAGAUUUAGAUUGAUUGUGAUAGCUGUCUUUAGAUCAUUGAAAAACUAACAUAUGAGAGGAAGAUUGGGAAUUUGUCUUACAUUACCCAUAAUACAGAUCUAAGAUCAAUGAGUAAAAAUUACAGAGCAGAUUUCAAUUCAGAAUGAAAAGAAACCUAAUGCCUGAUAAUUAAAAAUUCCAACAAUUGAAUGAGUUGCUUUGAAAGAGAAUGAGUUCCCUGUCAUUGAAGGUAUUUUUCUUAGUCUAUUCAGGCUGCUAUAACAAAAAUAUCAGAAACUGGGUAGCUUAUCAAUAAUAGAAAUUUAUUCAUUACAGUUUUAGAGGCUAGGAAGUCCAAGAGCAAGGUGCUAGCAGAUUUGGUGUCCGGUAAAGGCCUGCUUUCUGGUUCAUCAGUGAUGUCUUCUAGCUGUGCCCUCCCAUGUGGAAGGGGAAGGGCAGCUCUCUGGGAUCUUUUAGGACGGCACUAAUCCCAUUCAUAAGGGUUCUGCCCUCAUGACCUAAGCCUUAAUGUCACCUUGGGAAUUAGAAUUUCAAUACAGGAAUUUGAGGAUGAGGGAACACAAACAUUGAUACCAUAGCAGUAUAUAACGAGAAGCUGCAUAAUCAUUUUUGUGGACAUUGUUAGUAUAGUUUUGGGGUCAUAAAUUAAAUGAAUUAUGAGGUAUGUGUUAGUUUUCUAUUACUCUAUAGCAAACUAUCACAAAAGUAGCAGCUUAAAACAAUACAUAUUUAUCUCACUGUUGCCAUGGGUCAGGAGUCUGGAUGUGUGUUAUCUGCAGCUCACCACUUUGAAUCAAGGAGUCAGCUAGGUCUGGGGUGUCCUCUUAAAGCCUGGGGCCCUCUACCAUGCUCACCCUGGUUGGUUGCAAGGUGCACAGUUUCUUGGAACUCUUGAAUUGAAGUCCUUGUUGUUUUGCUGGUUGGACAGAGGACUGUCUAAGAUACUAGAGGCUACUCCUUGUUUCUUGCCACAUACCACCCUCCUCUGCCCCCUGCUUUGGCCUUCUGUAUUCUUACACUCAAAUCUUUCUCCAGGAAGGGACCAUGACCUCUUAAGGGCUAACUUUAUUAGGUCAGUCCAAAUCAGAUAAGUCAACUGAUUUGUAAUGUCAUCGUAGGAGUGAUAUUCCAUCAUAUUCACAGAUUCUACCCAUAUUUAAUGGAAGACAAUUAUACAAGGCAUAUAUACUAGAAGUCAGGAAUCUUGGGUCCAGGCCCAUCUCAGAAUUCUGCCUGCCAUAUUGUUCUUUCCACAUAUACAUCUCCAGAAUUCAGGUCACCACGAUCAUUCAUAGAUGAUCACUAAAUUAAAGAUCUCAUGAGAUGACAAAGUGUACUUCCUGGGCUGAUUUUUAACAUGACAUCAGCCUCGGUCCUGAGAUAAUAAGACCAUCUCCAGGUUAGUGAUGCCUCAGAGGUUCCUGAUGAGGUUGGUGUGGGAUAUGAGUGUUUAGAGCAAUGCCCGUAGCACUCCAGCCUUCCCCAGGUAUCUCCGAAACACCGUGGAUCUAGAGAUGAUUUGGAAUCCCCAGAAUUUCUGAGGACCAAAAAGAAUAGUUGCUGAACGCCCAGAACAGUGUGUGGUACUAGAAGACUUCUGGAAAUAGACUACAAUUUUUCAGGGUUAAGCCAUGAAGAGGUUCAAUUCCCCUCCUUCUGUACUUUGUCUCAAUUUUCAGCUUUUCAUCUGGAGACUAAAGGGUUAGGAUUUUGUGCAGAAUUAUGACAGUAGCUCAACCGAGACCCCUCCGUAAAGAGAGAAAGGAUGGAAUUACUGCAUAGAAAUUUAGAUAUGGAAAGCCAUACAUACUAAGGAUCUGGCUACAAAUGCCUCUGGGCCCUGAAGGAGGUGAUACAGAGAUGAUUAUCUGUCACCCACAAUAAGCCAGCCUAAUCUGCCUUCAUUGUAUGUGUCUAUUGCUUCCUGUGACUGUGCCCCUCCAAAUCAGACUGAAAAUAACCCAUUUGGCUUCAUCAAGGUGUGAAACUAGGAAAAAUCCUGGCUGUCCUGACAUUUUGGCUUCCAGUUCCUAUAUCACUGGCCCUGAGAGAGCUAAGCCAAGCAAAUAGAUCUUUAUCUUUGUUCAGUGAACUGCUUAUCUCAUCCUUGAGCAGGAACCAAGCAACCUUUUUAAAUAAGGGUAUAAUGUUGGACAGACCCUAAACAAUGAGUCCUGCUUUGUAUAGAAAUUCUAAAGAAAUGGACACUCUAUAUAAAAUUAUACAACCAUAUGAACACUGUUCUAAACUAAUAUUCAAGCAGAAUCAAAGCAUGCUAUUUUUUUGGAUAAGCAGUUAACAUAUUUGAGCCAAGGCUUUUGAUUUUACCUCUAAACUUAUAUCCACAUAAUUUGAAGUAGACUCCACCCUCACUUAUUUUUUAUUCUGUGGGCAUGUAUGUUUGUGUGAAUUAGUCUUCAUAUAUGUCAUUGUUCUGAUAAAAAAAAAAUCCUUAUAGAAAAUGC
rnacentral:sRNA from 1 species